rnacentral:rRNA from 1 species
CCUACGGGAGGCAGCAGUGGGGAAUAUUGCACAAUGGGGGAAACCCUGAUGCAGCGACGCCGCGUGAAGGAAGAAGUAUUUCGGUAUGUAAACUUCUAUCAGCAGGGAAGAAAAUGACGGUACCUGACUAAGAAGCCCCGGCUAACUACGUGCCAGCAGCCGCGGUAAUACGUAGGGGGCAAGCGUUAUCCGGAUUUACUGGGUGUAAAGGGAGCGUAGGCGGUUCAGCAAGUCAGAAGUGAAAGCCCGGGGCUCAACUCCGGGACUGCUUUUGAAACUGUUGAACUAGAGUGCAGGAGAGGUAAGUGGAAUUCCUAGUGUAGCGGUGAAAUGCGUAGAUAUUAGGAGGAACACCAGUGGCGAAGGCGGCUUACUGGACUGUAAAUGACGCUGAGGCUCGAAAGCGUGGGGAGCAAACAGGAUUAGAUACCCCAGUAGUC